CAUUAUCGAGUCGUUAAGCCUGAGGGUUGUCGCUGGCCUCUCGAGGCAUGUGCACGCCUUUGGGCGAUUCAUCCACACACACUUGUGAACCUUUUGUGGGGAACGCCAUAUGCACCUUUCGAGGAGACUGCUUCCCCAUGUUUACAUCAACUCUUUAGUAUGUCUGUAGAAUGUCACUUUGAAUGUGUGCAAUGCAUGCAGUACAACUUUCAACAACGGAUCUCUUGGCUCUCGCAUCGAUGAAGAACGCAGCGAAAUGCGAUAAGUAAUGUGAAUUGCAGAUUUUCAGUGAAUCAUCGAAUCUUUGAACGCACCUUGCGCUCCUUGGUAUUCCGAGGAGCAUGCCUGUUUGAGUGUCAUUGAAUUCUCAACCCCAGAUGGGCUUUGUAGGCCAUGUUGUGGGGCUUGGACUUUGGAGCGUGCUGGCCUUUUUUUGUCGGCUCCUCUUAAAUGCAUUGGCAGACGUGUUUGAAGGCUCUCUGCUGGCUUCGGCGUGAUAAGUCUGUUGCGUCGCUGUCGGGUGGGUGGCAAUGUGGGGCUCUGCUUACAAUUGUCUUGGAUGACGAGACGACCUGUUUGAAACUUGACCUCAAAUCAGGUAGGACUACCCGCUGAACUUAAGCAUAUCAAUAAGCGGAGGAAAAGAAACUAACAAGGAUUCCCCUAGUAACUGCGAGUGAAGCGGGAAGAGCUCAAAUUUAAAAUCUGAUGGUCUCUGGCCGUC
rnacentral:rRNA from 1 species